UAGGGAAUAUUGGACAAUGGGUGAGAGCCUGAUCCAGCCAUGCCGCGUGCAGGAAGAAGGCGUUAUGCGUUGUAAACUGCUUUUUGCCAGGGGAUAAAAAGACCGUGCGCGGUUAAUUGAAGGUACCUGGUGAAUAAGCCACGGCUAACUACGUGCCAGCAGCCGCGGUAAUACGUAGGUGGCAAGCGUUGUCCGGAUUUAUUGGGUUUAAAGGGUGCGUAGGUGGCCCUGUAAGUCAGUGGUGAAAUAUCUCAGCUUAACUGAGAGGGUGCCAUUGAUACUGCAGGGCUUGAGUACAGAUGAGGUAGGCGGAAUUGACGGUGUAGCGGUGAAAUGCUUAGAUAUCGUCAAGAACACCGAUAGCGAAGGCAGCUUACUAGACUGUAACUGACGCUGAGGCACGAAAGUGUGGGGAUCAAACAGGAUUAGAUACCCUAGUAGUCCCUGAGCGGGCUGGCAAGGCGCAU
rnacentral:rRNA from 1 species